UACGGGGGGGGCAAGCGUUGUUCGGAAUUACUGGGCGUAAAGGGCUCGUAGGCGGCCAACUAAGUCAUACGUGAAAUCCCUCAGCUUAACUGGGGAACUGCGUGUGAUACUGGAUGGCUUGGAUUUGGGAGAGGGAUGCGGAAUUCCAGGUGUAGCGGUGAAAUGCGUAGAUAUCUGGAGGAACACCGGUGGCGAAGGCGGCAUCCUGGACCAAUAUGACGCUGAGGAGCGAAAGCCAGGGGAGCAAACGGG
rnacentral:rRNA from 1 species